CCUACGGGAGGCAGCAGUGGGGAAUAUUGCACAAUGGGGGAAACCCUGAUGCAGCAACGCCGCGUGAGUGAAGAAGUAUUUCGGUAUGUAAAGCUCUAUCAGUAGGGAAGAAGAAAGACGGUACCUGACUAAGAAGCCCCGGCUAACUACGUGCCAGCAGCCGCGGUAAUACGUAGGGGGCAAGCGUUAUCCGGAUGUACUGGGUGUAACGGGAGCGUAGGCGGCUGUGCAAGUCUGAAGUGAAAGCCCGGGGCUUAACCGCGGAACUGCUUUGGAAACUGUAUAGCUUGAGUACUGGAGAGGCAGGCGGAAUGCCUGGUGUAGCGGUGAAAUGCGUAGAUAUUAGGAGGAACACCAGUGGCGAAGGCGGCCUGCUGGACAGAAACUGACGUUGAGGCUCGAAAGCGUGGGGAGCGAACAGGAUUAGAUACCCUUGUAGUC
rnacentral:rRNA from 1 species